UAAAUCAGUGAUAAUCUGUUUGAUUUUCUCUCCCAUUGGAUAACCGUGGGAAAUCUAGAGCUAAUACGUGCGGUAUAUUGGCGUGGCUCUCGGGCUCGUCAAAGCAUUUAUUAGACUAAACCAACUACUAUGUUUACUCAUAGUAAGGGGAAUCUGGAUAACUUUGCUGAUCGUAUGGCCUUGCGCCGGCGACGUUUCAAUUGAGUUUCUGCCCUAUCAACUUGUUGGUAAGGUAUUGGCUUACCAAGGUUGCAACGGGUAACGGGGAAUCAGGGUUCGAUUCCGGAGAGGGAGCCUGAGAAACGGCUACCACAUCCAAGGAAGGCAACAGGCGCGCAAAUUACCCAAUCUAGACAGUAGGAGGUGGUGAAGAGAAUUACUAAAUGGUGGUCCAAUGGAUCACUUGUUUGGAAUGAACGUAACUUAAGAAAUUCGUUGAUAAACAACUGGAGGGCAAGUCCUGGUGCCAGCAGCCGCGGUAAUUCCAGCUCCAGUAGUUUGCUUUAAAGUUGUUGCGUUUAAAACGCUCGUAGUUGGAUCAAGAAGCAGUGUUCAGUUAUCUUUUGUUGCUCACCUUCAUUUGUGUCCGUCUCUGACGGCUCAUUUGCUGGCAGGCGCACUAGAUGCUAUGCUGAAUGCUGUUAGUUGCACGUGAGAUAGAUUGUUGGCCUUAAAUGAGCCGGUAUUCUUGUCUUGCGGGGUGUGCCUUGAAUAAAACAGAGUGCUUAAAGCAGGUUAUUGCCUGAAUGUUAUAGCAUGGAACGAACAAUCGUGUAUAUGCACGUGUUAUUGGAUCGCUGCGAGCUUUUGGUUUGUAGCUUUCCGAAAUGCGUGCGGCACCCACCAAAAUAUGGCUGUUGGUUCCAUAUACGGUGAUGAUUAACAGGAGCGGUUGGGGGCAUCGGUAUUUGGCCGCGAGAGGUGAAAUUCUUAGACCGGCCAAGGACUAACAAAUGCAAAGGCACUUGUCUAGACCGUUUCCAUUAAUCAAGAACGAAAGUGGGAGGUUCGAAGACGAUCAGAUACCGUCAUAGUUCCCACCGUAAACUAUGCCGACCUGGGAUCAGUUUGGAGAUGAUACAAGCUCCAAAUUGGUCCCCCUGGGAAACCUAAAGUUUUUCGGUUACGGGGAGAGUAUGGUCGCAAGGCUGAAACUUAAAGGAAUUGACGGAAGGGCACCACCAGGGGUGGAGCCUGCGGCUUAAUUUGACUCAACACGGGGAAACUUACCUGGUCCGGACAUCGAAAGGAUUAACAGAUCAAUAGCUCUUUUAUGAUACGAUGAGUGGUGGUGCAUGGCCGUUCUUAGUUCGUGGAGUGAUCUGUCAGCUUAAUUGCGGUAACGAACGAGACCACAGUCUCCAUUUGAGAGAUGGAAGAAGGUGUUUGGCCGGAAGACUUCGGUUGACGGUUGAACACUGUAGGUAGAACUGAGUUUCCUUUGUCGAUAUUGAGGGGCAACCUGAGGUAUUGGCGUUGGGAACGCAGUUUCUCCCUUCCAUUUCGCAGCAGUCGGCCUCGGCUGGCUGUUGCUUCAUGGAGAGACAACGAGGUAUAAACAAGCUCGAGGAAGAGUGGCUAUAACAGGUCAGUGAUGCCCUUCGAUGUUCAGGGCUGC
rnacentral:rRNA from 1 species